UGGCUCCAGGCGAAAUUCGAACCAGCAUCUCUUGCUUAUCAAGCAAUUGUCUACCACUGUACUAUAAGGGC